ACGCUCGACACCUACGGGGCAGCAGUGAGGGAUAUUGGUCAAUGGGGGAAACCCUGAACCAGCAACGCCGCGUGAGGGAUGACGGCCUGGUUGUAACUCUGUCCUCUGUGAAGAUAAUGACGGUAGCAGAGGAGGAAGCUCCGGCUAACUACGUGCCAGCAGCCGCGGUAAUCUGAGCGGGCUGGCAAGGC
rnacentral:rRNA from 1 species